UUUAUUCUCUGCCACAUCUUCUA
rnacentral:siRNA from 1 species